CCUACGGGUGGCAGCAGUGAGGAAUAUUGGUCAAUGGGCGUAAGCCUGAACCAGCCAAGUCGCGUGAGGGAUGAAGGUUCUAUGGAUCGUAAACCUCUUUUAUAAGGGAAUAAAGUGUGGGACGUGUCCUGUUUUGUAUGUACCUUAUGACUAAGGAGCGGCUAACUCCGUGCCAGCAGCCGCGGUAAUACGGAGGAUCCGAGCGUUAUCCGGAUUUAUUGGGUUUAAAGGGUGCGUAGGCGGCCUUGUAAGUCAGCGGUGAAAGUCUGUGGCUCAACCAUAAAAUUGCCGUUGAAACUGGGAGGCUUGAGUAUGUUUGAGGCAGACGGAAUGCGUGGUGUAGCGGUGAAAUGCUUAGAUAUCGCGCAGAACCCCAAUUGCGAAGGCAGCCUGCCAAGCCAUGACUGACGCUGAUGCACGAAAGCGUGGGGAUCAAACAGGAUUAGAUACCCGUGUAGUC
rnacentral:rRNA from 1 species